AUUGUGGGGAAUGUUGGCUGGCUCGAGGCAUCCGCGUCGUCCUAGCUUGCAGAUCGUUGCCUGCUGCAGGACAGAUCGAGAGGCGUCGGACCAGGCUUCAUUCCUCGCAAG
rnacentral:pre_miRNA from 1 species